UACGAGAGGUCCAAACGUUAUUCGGAAUUACUGGGCUUACAGAGUUCGUAGGCGGCUCUACAAGUGAGGUGUGAAAGCCCUGGGCUCAACCCAGGAAGUGCACUCGAUACUGCCUAGCUAGAGUCCCGGAGAGGUUGGUGGAACUCUCGGUGUAGAGGUGAAAUUCGUAGAUAUCGAGAAGAACACCGGUGGCGAAGGCGGCCAACUGGACGGUGACUGACACUGAGACGCGAAAGCGUGGGGAGCAAACAGG
rnacentral:rRNA from 1 species